AUUUCUAUUGCCACAAAAUAAGAAGUCCACAUGGCCCCCUGGGGGGUGGGUCACCCCUCCGGGAAGCCCUCCUCACAGUCAGGGUUCGGAGGGUUCUGCCUCACCUCUGCCCCAUGUGCGGGCCCAGCUCAGUGUUUCAUGGGUUAAAUGCCCUAUACAUAUUUAUGGCAUGAAUUUAAACAGUGAGGAAAGGCAGGAAACAGACCUUGCCCACUGGCUGGCAGGUCAGGUUAGGAGCCUGGGUCCCCAGGCUGGCAGAGACCGGGGUGUGCUCCUCGUCUUGCUGCCCUGGAGUGUGGGUGGCGGCUGUGAAAUGGCGUGUUCCCGGGCCUGGCCUGCGCAUCUCCACCUGCACUUAGGAGACAAAUUCUCGAGGGAGAGGCUGAUAGGCUCACUCACUGGAAAGCCACAGGACAGCAUUCAGCUUCAUUUCCCUGGAGCUCCCUGUAAGGUGGGGCAAGGGCCUCCUCUCUCCUGUGUGCGGAAACAGCCCAGCAAGCAUCGUGUCCCAAGAGAAGAAGGACUGAGCGUGGCUGCGUGUGGACCCCCACAGACCUUCUGAGGCCCAAGGCAGUGGGCAGCAAGCCUGGUACUGACCCAGCCGAGCUGCAAAACUGGGCACAUGACAAGUGUGUGACAAGUGUGUGUGACCCUGGGGCCCAGCCAUCCAGACUCAUUGCCACCCCACGGCGGGGGACUGGGAGUGCAGGGCCCCAAGAUCCAGGAAAGUCUGGCAGGGGCCCAUGGAGCUGUCCAGAGAACCCCGAACCGUCCUUCUAGAACGCAGCUCUGCGUUUCCGGCCCAGACGACACUCCGAUUAAAUUCAGGGUGUGUUUCUCAUUUUAGAAAGCUGUGCGUGUGCUGCCAUGGUCUUUUCUUAGAUAAAAACAUACCCACACUCCUUCCCUACAAAAUGAAACCAAACACAUUUAGAACACAUGUGAGCCAUUUCUCUAUGGGAAAGGCCAUUUGUGGUUAACACAGAAAGUAUU
rnacentral:lncRNA from 1 species